rnacentral:rRNA from 1 species
CAUAUCAAUAAGCGGAGGAAAAGAAACCAACAGGGAUUACCCUAGUAACGGCGAGUGAAGCGGUAGAAGCUCAAAUUUGAAAUCUGGCUCUCUUGGGAGUCCGAGUUGUAAUUUGUAGAGGAUGCUUUUGGCGAGGUGCCUUCCGAGUUCCCUGGAACGGGACGCCUUAGAGGGUGAGAGCCCCGUACGGUUGGAUGCCGAGCCUCUGUAAAGCUCCUUCGACGAGUCGAGUAGUUUGGGAAUGCUGCUCUAAAUGGGAGGUAAAUUUCUUCUAAAGCUAAAUAUUGGCCAGAGACCGAUAGCGCACAAGUAGAGUGAUCGAAAGAUGAAAAGUACUUUGAAAAGAGGGUUAAAUAGUACGUGAAAUUGUUGAAAGGGAAGCGUUUAUGACCAGACUUUGUCGUGGUGGAUCAUCCGGUGGUUUCCACCGGUGCGCUCUACCGCGACGAGGCCAGCAUCGGUUUCCGCAGGGGGAUAAAAGCCUGGGGAACGUAGCUCCCUCGGGAGUGUUAUAGCCCCUCGCAUAAUACCCUU